rnacentral:rRNA from 1 species
UACGAAGGGGGCUAGCGUUGUUCGGAUUUACUGGGCGUAAAGCGCACGUAGGCGGAUCGUUAAGUUAGGGGUGAAAUCCUGGAGCUCAACUCCAGAACUGCCUCUAAUACUGGCGAUCUAGAGUCCGGAAGAGGUGAGUGGAACUCCUAGUGUAGAGGUGGAAUUCGUAGAUAUUAGGAAGAACACCAGUGGCGAAGGCGGCUCACUGGUCCGGUACUGACGCUGAGGUGCGAAAGCGUGGGGAGCAAACAGG